rnacentral:tRNA from 1 species
AGAAUAAUUGUUUGACUUUAUUAAUAAUUAUUUUGAAAGUAAUUGAUAAGGAAUUCCUUUAAAGUAG